GCAUCAUUGAACCUUUUGAGCUA
rnacentral:siRNA from 1 species